rnacentral:lncRNA from 1 species
CUAAGUUUACCUUGAAACAAAAUUGAUCAACACAAGAAAAACCCAGUCCUCCAUCUCAAUUUGUUAAUUUGUUACAAGUUAUCACAUUAAACUAUCUAUCUCCAUGACUUUGUAAUCCUUUUACUGCAAGUUUGCAACAGCAAGCGAUGAAUGUCUCUCGCCAUCCAUUUUUCAUAUGAUUAGGUUUGACAAUGUCUGAAAAAGAGCUUUCGAAGGUGUAACCACUCAAUCCGACUACAAUAACAUGCUCACCACACUGUACUGACAAUGACAAAAGCUUUAACCUAUGCUAACAUGCAUUUCCUCCCCAACAAUUUCAAAUAUUUC